CCUCUCUAUAGUGGCAAAGCAAAGCCCUCAUGUGUGUGUCUACAUGCACUUGCUCUGACAGACAUACACACAUGCACUGCGAGCAGCACUGAAGCUGUGGUCGCCAGUGGCUGUUCUACAUCUCAAACUAAUUUAAUUGAUGUGCUGAUGGCCUUUUCUGCACACUUUGAUCAUAAAACCUGGAAGGAAACAGAACAAAGCACUGACAGGAAGACAGUCACCAUGUGUCUGCACUUUGCACUAAAAGAAACAAGGAGUGACAUGCUUUGUCUGGCGUUGAACUCGUGCUAUGGACAAUGGAUGGCCUGGCAGUGCGGGAAUGAGCUAGUUGAUGUUUCACUCUUUGUCCUGCCUUUUUGCUUUCCACUCUCUAUGUCAUCCGUGAAAAGGAUCUUCUCAUUCAGCCAGUCUGCGGACAGAUCCUCAGCCUGCAGACAAAAUAUUGUCACCCAUCACAAUGGACUGCAGCAGCCAUGCCUCUGCGGGAGAGCGGCAGAUUUGGCCCUCUUUGGCUCAGUUCAAACGCCCAGCUCUGCUAACAGCUCCUCCUUUUGUCGACUGCAAACCACACUGGCACGCAGGCCAAAGCGCAAACAAGAGGACAAAAAGAGAAAGGAAGACAGAUAUAAAAGCCCUCCCCCCGGCUUCCUCUAAUCCAGUUAGAAGGCUGUAAAUUUGAUUGGAGUCCUGAGAGUGUGCCUUCAGCUGUCCGUCAUUAGCGAGUGCUGAGAGGGAGCUCAUACCUCAUAGCAGAGGUAAAGACUGAGAUCACAGUACAAGGAGACACGCAUGUGAAAAUGGAACCGCAAAGGACAUGUUUGGAUGCUACACUGUGAGAAAAAAUCUGCAGAAAAAAAGAGAAAAGGUACUGGAAAUUAUGUGCCAGGACACUAUACGUUAAGUUUACAGACAUGUUCUUGAACUCUAAAACACAAUGCAGUGCGCAAAUUAAAAUACAGGUAAAACACCUGUGAAAAAUCAGUAUGGAUUAUUCAUUCAUAUUAACACAGUACACUGUGCCCUAUUUUUUGGUGGCAAAAAAUAUGAUGAAACCAUUCAAGUAUCAUGAUUAUUUACAGUCACUUAAAACAAUAUAAAACCUACCUAUCCUAUGCUGGUCUGCUGGUCUUAGCUGGUGUAAAACCAGCCAACAGACCAGCAUGUUCUUACAGCAAGAUGUUCUCACAGCAGGGUGGAUGAGGUGCACAUUCAAAGUCACUGUAAAAUAGUUGAAAAACACACUUGUGACUGAACAUCAAUUA
ensembl:lncRNA